AAGGAUGUUAUAAUCUCUACUGGUACAAUCAUAGUUUGUCUAAUAUGGUGGCAGAGAGAACAGUGCUGGGUACAUCAAUUGUAUCUAGGAAGUAUAACCUUCUUAGCAUGUUCAAUCAUCCUACUCGAAUUCUAAUCUUCAAGAAAAUGAGAAAAGAUCAUUUUGCAAUUAAGGUCAUGAGAUAAUUUGGUUGCUGAUAUAAAAUUUGUAUGCAAUUUGGGGACAUGAAAAACAUCCAAAAGAGUGAGGUGGAGAUUAAGUUUUAUGGUGUUAAUUUCUGCUACUAGGAUUAGUGAACCAUCAGCAGUAACAAUCUCUCUAUUGUUGGGACAUGGAGCAAAGUGCCAAACAAUUUAAGGGAAUUUAUUAUAUGAUCAGUAGCUCAUGAAUCCACAAUCCAUGAUAAUAUAAGAAAUUUAUUUGAGACAUUUCAGCCAUGGGAAAUAAGAAAUAUACCAGAGUGUGCUAUGAACCCUGUAACUUUAGGUUUUUUAGGUUACUCAAGCCGGGUUCGCGGUUGCUUAAUUUCUGCCUUGAAAUCAUAGGUCUAACUGCUCUUUCCCCCUAAGCUAAAUGUUUGCGUCCCUGGUUUUCCUCGUAUCUUCAAUCCUUACUUGAGAUGGUCGGCUUCCCAUGAAGCUUAAAACAUUUUUCCUUGGUGUGCCUUGGUUUCAUGUAGAAUGUACACCAACAGCAGAAGUCUCAGUGUCUCCUGGAUUGAAUCCCAAACAUCAAAAGUGGGAUCUCCUACCUCUGGUCUAGUGCCUAGGAGAUGGUUUAGCUUUCCUCGAUCCUUGAGAGUGGUUGAAAUCAAUUAUAAUCAGGUAAAUCUUGCCAUUGAAGCAAUAGCCAACUUGAAUUGGUUGAAAUUUGCCAUUGUUUUGUGCUGAUAUUCCCAUUUGGAAGUUUGUACUGGUAUACUGAGAUGUAACCUCCGACAUUAUUCAAGAACUUUUAAGGUUUCCUGAACAGAGCGGUAACAACUAGUGGCUGCCUGAAGAGGUGCAGGUAUGGCUAGAGUGCAGCAACUUUCACAGUAGAGGGGCAGAAUCACAGCUGGAGCUGCUGGGGCAGAGUGUGGCUGGAGCUGCAGAGGUCCUGGCCACUGUAUGUAGUUGAGCAGAAGGUGGCGUACGGACGGAGAGAGAUGUCGUGCAGGUUCUGGAUAGAGCAAGGGAGUGAUGGCCAUGCUGUGUGGAUAGAACAUGGACAUGUGGCUGGUGGAAACUGGACGCGUGGCUGAGGCGCGACUGAGUUUCUGGAACCGGCAAUGAAGGUCAAUUUUCAUGGCUGAUUGCAAAUUUGUGGUGGCUGGCUUUUUUGGUGAUGGAGGGAAGUGGCGAUGAAGGCUGCUCUCUAAAGGUUUUCUUAUCUCGUAAGAUCUUCGUAGCUGUAUGCUUUCAGAUGACGUGACGAAAACAAGUAUAAGCACACAGUGUGAAAGAAAGAGACUCAAUAAAAUGCCUGAUAUCCAAGACUCCUGUCAUGCUGCGACUGAUCAAUAAAAAAUUACUUGAACAAAACAUGUCAAUGAUGGCGUUUCCUUAUUGGCAGGGGAGGAGCUUUGUAAAAGAUUGAAAAGUUUUCUGCUAGGGUUUUGAAGCAAAUGAACGGUAAAGAUUGAAAGCAGAAAAUGAAGGACUAGAUGAAGAGCACGAUGGGACGCAAGACAAGUAGACGGUGGAAAUUAAAAGAUGCCAUCUGUUGAGGACAGCUGUAAAAAGUAGUUUAUGGAAUUUUUUGUUUUUGGGUUGUUGAGUAUUUGUUAGGGUUUGUUUCUCUUUCCUCAAUCAGAGUAUUCCUCUUUCUCUGUAUGUAUAUAUAUGCACAUCUGUACAUAAUAAAGACUA